rnacentral:sRNA from 1 species
AAGACUAUACUUUCAGGGAUCAUUUCUAUAGUAUGUUUCUAAUAAUGUGAUGUCUUGAUUUGUUUGGGGCACUU